rnacentral:rRNA from 1 species
GACGAACCGUGCGAACGUUGUUCGGAAUCACUGGGCUUAAAGGGCGCGUAGGCGGGCUGCCAAGUUCGGGGCGAAAUCCUCCCGCUCAACGGGAGAACGGCCCCGAAUACUGGCGGUCUCGAGGGAGGUAGGGGCGUGCGGAACUAUGGGUGGAGCGGUGAAAUGCGUUGAUAUCCAUAGGAACUCCGGUGGCGAAGGCGGCACGCUGGACCUCUUCUGACGCUGAGGCGCGAAAGCCAGGGGAGCAAACGGG